AACACACCCGACAUGCAUCUCAUUGAGAUGAUUUUCUUUGUUUUUCAUUUUCAGAUGGGUGGGUGGUUCCUUGCUGUACGGACAUUGCAAUGAGGUUUCAGAUUUUAUAUGCUCAAAUAUGGGCGAAAUGUUAGUUAAACAUUUGCUGCUCUCAAAGCCAGCUUACCUGUAAACCUGUCUUGGCUGGGAUCAUCAAACCACAUUUGGUUGAUCUGAUCGAGACUAAUCACCUAAAACAAAGUUCCAUUUUACUUGGAAGGGCCGUGAAAAUUUCUGUACUCCAUUAAUCCUUUCAAUCAUUCAAGUAGAUGAUCUUCGCCAUUGCUUCUUCCCUUUCUUUUGAUGCAAUUUGAACGGACUCCAGCUCUUUCUACGUGUGGAGGUCUCACAAAAGAGCCCAGACGCCAAGGCCUGCUGAAGCCAUAGCUCAAAUUCUUCAUCCUCAUCCAUCAUCUCAGCAUCCAGAUCCCACGGGUAUCUGCUUGAUUUGGAGCGUUGCGUCUUCUCCAAACCGACCAUGUUUACAUGGAAGCUAGGCCUAUG
rnacentral:misc_RNA from 1 species